UACGUAGGGGGCAAGCGUUGUCCGGAUUUAUUGGGCGUAAAGAGCGUGUAGGCGGCCUUACAGGUCAGCUGUGAAAACUCGAGGCUCAACCUCGAGACGUCGGUUGAAACCGUAUGGCUAGAGUCCGGAAGAGGAGAGUGGAAUUCCCGGUGUAGCGGUGAAAUGCGCAGAUAUCGGGAAGAACACCCGUGGCGAAGGCGGCUCUCUGGGACGGUACUGACGCUGAGACGCGAAAGCGUGGGGGAGCGAACAGG
rnacentral:rRNA from 1 species